GAGCACUGUUUCGGCAAGGGGGUCAUCCCGACUUACCAACCCGAUGCAAACUGCGAAUACCGGAGAAUGUUAUCACGGGAGACACACGGCGGGUGCUAACGUCCGUCGUGAAGAGGGAAACAACCCAGACCGCCAGCUAAGGUCCCAAAGUCAUGGUUAAGUGGGAAACGAUGUGGGAAGGCCCAGACAGCCAGGAUGUUGGCUUAGAAGCAGCCAUCAUUUAAAGAAAGCGUAAUAGCUCACUGGUCGAGUCGGCCUGCGCGGAAGAUGUAACGGGGCUAAACCAUGCACCGAAGCUGCGGCAGCGACGCUGAUGCGUUGUUGGGUAGGGGAGCGUUCUGUAAGCCUGUGAAGGUGUGCUGUGAGGCAUGCUGGAGGUAUCAGAAGUGCGAAUGCUGACAUAAGUAACGAUAAAGCGGGUGAAAAGCCCGCUCGCCGGAAGACCAAGGGUUCCUGUCCAACGUUAAUCGGGGCAGGGUGAGUCGACCCCUAAGGCGAGGCCGAAAGGCGUAGUCGAUGGGAAACAGGUUAAUAUUCCUGUACUUGGUGUUACUGCGAAGGGGGGACGGAGAAGGCUAUGUUGGCCGGGCGACGGUUGUCCCGGUUUAAGCGUGUAGGCUGGUUUUCCAGGCAAAUCCGGAAAACUAAGGCUGAGGCGUGAUGACGAGGCACUACGGUGCUGAAGCAACAAAUGCCCUGCUUCCAGGAAAAGCCUCUAAGCAUCAGGUAACAUCAAAUCGUACCCCAAACCGACACAGGUGGUCAGGUAGAGAAUACCAAGGCGCUUGAGAGAACUCGGGUGAAGGAACUAGGCAA
rnacentral:rRNA from 1 species